rnacentral:rRNA from 1 species
GACGAACGCUGGCGGCGCGCUUAACACAUGCAAGUCGAGCGAUGAAACUUUAACAGAACCCUUCGGGGCGAAGAUAAAGUGGAUUAGCGGCGGACGGGUGAGUAACACGUGAGUAACCUGCCUUAGACAUUGGGAUAGCCUCGGGAAACCGGGAUUAAUACCAAAUAAAAUCAUAAUGACACAUGUCAUAACGAUCAAAACUCCGGUGGUCUAAGAUGGACUCGCGUCCCAUUAGCUAGUUGGUAGAGUAAAAGCCUACCAAGGCGACGAUGGGUAGCCGGCCUGAGAGGGUGAACGGCCACAUUGGGACUGAGAAACGGUCCAAACUCCUACGGGAGGCAGCAGUGGGGAAUAUUGCACAAUGGAGGGAACUCUGAUGCAGCGACGCCGCGUGAACGAAGAAGGCUUUCGAGUCGUAAAGUUCUUUUAUAUGGGAAGAUAAUGACGGUACCAUAAGAAAAAGCCCCGGCUAACUACGUG